rnacentral:lncRNA from 1 species
GAAUUUGUUCAGGCAGUUGUGUUUGUUGAGGGAUUUCAGGAUCAUUCGGGAAGGAGAGAGCAAAGGUUCUUUUGCUGGGCUGUCCCAGUCAGGAUCAACAACUGAAGUCCACCAUCCUGCUGCAGGGUCUCCUGGGUGUCCCCUCGCAGCAUCCUGUCACCUUCCCAGUGUCACUCAAACCAGUACAAGUUUUCUUCUGGUGUGUGCUGCCUGCAGGGUAGAUACAGGUCUUCUGUUCUGAGCUAGGACCCCCCCUUAAGUUCUCAGUGCCCACCUAGGGACUCAACACCCCAAGAUCAUGAGAGAGCUGCUUAGGGGUGCACAUCAUCACUCCAUGUGGCUUCUGGGGGAGGUCAAAGGGUGGGCCAUCCCCGAGAGCAGAGGGGCAGGAGUGGCACCCAGACGGCCUGCAGGAGACCCCCUCGGGGAGGGUGUGCAUGGGAUGACAGCCUGUACUGGGCGCAUGCGCCUGGCUGGUUAAAAAGCAUCUGUUUCUGAGCAGGAAGCCUACAGGUGCCUCACUUUCUGCAUUCUGUUCCUUGAAGUUGGGGAGACGUGGAAAGCCAGUCCUCUUGGUCACUGUGACUGGCUGUGGUGGCCAUGUUUGCUGAAAGCCUCCCUGUGUCCUCUCAGUGCCAGUUUCCAUGUGCUGAAAGGCAAGACGUUACCUCUGCUCUGAGCCUACCCAGGUAUCACCCUGAGGGUCACUAUGACUAAGGAGAAAGAGCUGUACUUAGUGCUGCCGGAGCGGAUGGACUGUGACCCUUAGGCUUUCUCUGCAGUGUGGGAAGCACCCCCUCCCCUCUCUGGAAUGAAAGACUUAUCGGCCCCAUUGUGCUUGCCUGCGGCUGCCGUCCUAUCUCAUCCCUGCCUGCUGGCUCACACGGUGUCCACUGUGUACUGACUGCCCACCUCCUGCCUUUGCUCCGGACACUCCCCAAAGCAUGCGCUCUUACUCCCAGCCCUCCCCCAGGCCCUGUUCUGGCCAGCAGCCCUUCUGUUGCUAUUGUAAGGCUGGCAGGUGACCUUUCCUAGGUGGCCUUGCCUAGGUGGCCUUGCCCUUUGCCCUGCUUCACUGCUACUCCACCUGCCUCCUGGCUGCCUCCUGCCACUUCCCAGGCUCCUUCCGACCUCUUGCCUUGGGUCUCCCUGCCUGGCUUUACACGUGGGUGCUCUUUAGACUUUCUCUACCCAGUGUACAGUCCCAGGAGCUUCCUUCAGUGCCUCCUUCAGUCACACCUGAGCAGGGCAGGGGAGGGCCUGGCCCACUGGCCUUCCUGUCAUGUCCACAGGAGUCAGGAUUUCAGCAGAAAAGACUGGUCCCUGAGUGGCUCCUUGCUGCCUUUGGGUGCUUUUCUCCCAGGUCUCUGUGCUCCUGCCCACCUGCCUGACCUUCUGUGUCCUGCUUCUCUGCCCUGGUGCUCUGCUGCACUGGUGUGUCUACCAUGUUCGUGCGGCAUUCCCCUCUGCUGACCCGCUCCAUUGCUGCUACAACCUCCCUCUCCACCCUGGACCACGUUCUAGGACCCGGGAUGCACCGCUCCUCACUAGUCACUCUGUCUACAGCACUGGUCCUGGCCUGUGGCAGCUGCCCAGAGAAAUUCCUAUGGGGAGUGGUUAGGUGACUGUGCUUCCCUUGGGCGUAAGAGGAGGAGACUUCCAGCACUUACAGAGGUCCCAACAUGGGACCAACCAACAUGCUGCUCUAGAAGUGGGUGUUUAGGGCAUAGGCUGCUUGGGCUAGGAGAGAGUGCCAAGGCAGGGUGUGUAGAGCUGGCCUGGGACCACCCAUGGCAAGCAGCAUUCUGCGACCUUUGACCUUCGUCAAGGGCUCCUGCCAUGCCCAACUGCAGCCCCAGCAGGAAAUCCAACAGACAAGUAAGCCAGGGGAGCCAAGAGUGCAGAGUGAGGCUUCGUGGUCAGGCAGGACUCAUGCACACAGGUUAGGGACUGGUGAGCUUGGAGCUGCCAUCUGUAGGGCCUGGCCACAGAUGUGCUGUGCUGCUGUGACCCGAGGAGUAGCAGUGUACAGGAACAUCCCUGGGCAAGAGGACAUCCCUCCAGCUCUCUCCCUGAGUGUGGGGACUUUUGGUUUUUAUUUGGAUGGGACAUGGUUUGUUAUUUUUGUCUCUGAGGCAGGGUUAUAGUGUAUAGCCCACACUGACUCGCGAUCUACUUCCCAGUGUUGGGAUUAAAGAUACACGUCAUUACAUCCAGCUGGGGCCGGCAGCAUUGCUUUUGGUCACCAUGCCCACUGUCAGCACUAUCUUUGUGACCACACCAGGUCCAAGUCACAUUUCCUUCUCCAUGUCCCCUCCCCUCAACUUCACACAUCUGCAAGGAACCAGUAUCUUCUGUCUUAGCGUCUAAAUGUGGGCCACCUCUGUGCCCUGAGAAGUCCAUGUCUGGCUGUGUCGCAGGUCUGUUGGGUGGCCUCUGGGCAAUAAGGGGCUUGUGUGCACAGUAGCAGAGCUGCCUCACUGGCAGGCGCACACACAAGGACGGCCAUUGUUCUGGCAGAAUCCACAGAGGCCCAUUGUCAGAUGGGAUGCUCUCAGCUACAAAGGACAAAUGCGGGGAGCAUCCCCACCUUAGAGCCCCCUCCUGGAGGUGGUAUGAGGUUGGGGGCUGGCUUUGGAAUGUUUGAAGUCCUGGCACUCCGCCUGUUGCUUAUGUUAAGUUGCAUCACAGUAAUUAAGAUGCUUCUAUCGGAUUCUCCUGCCACAAUGGUGGUUGGAACCUUGGACUGAGGUCAUACCCAGGGCCACAUCUUUGUUAACCCUCUGACCUCAGGCCAGCAUUUCAACUUACUGAGCCAAAUCAGUGGCGGCUGUGCCAUGUGGUGCCCUACAGAAACCUCCAGUUGGUCCCCAGGAAAUACCAGGAGCCCUUGGUAUUGCUUGGAAAGCGAGGUUGGCUUCAGAAAAGUUGCUAAGGCUUUGUGGAUAUGGCUGUCAGUGUGGCAGGAAGCGGCUGGAGAGGGAAGCAGCCGGAAGGUGGGUGGGGCUGCGCCUAGCGCUGAGAUGUCUCAUUAAGCAGCUUGGGCUCAGUAGACUGGAAGGACAGGCUUGUCAGAGACCAGUGUGUGCUCCAGCACCGCAGUGCAUGGGUUCCAGUGUCAGUGUGUAUGCACACACUUCGCACGUUGCCUGACUCUCGAGUGGGGCUGCUGAGCGCAGCAGACAGACAGUGUCGGGGUCAGCCCUGUUGCCAGCCUCAGCUCUGCACAGGUGGCUGCCUUCUGGAAGCUUGCUGAGCCUGGCCCUUCCCUCCAAUGACAUCAGCUUAGGAGAGACCCAUCCAGCCCCAGGAUAGUUCUGCCAAGCGUCUUUUGCCUUGGCUAAGGGGUCUCGGAAUUUUCUCCUCUUAAAGCAAGAAUGACAGGAUGGAAUGGUUUCUGUACUUU